CCGACCUUAGCUCAGUUGGUAGAGCGGAGGACUGUAGUUGGUGUUCAAGCUGUCAUCCUUAGGUCGCUGGUUCGAAUCCGGCAGGUCGGA
rnacentral:tRNA from 1 species